GCCUUGCGUUAGUGAGUUGCAUUCGCUGCCUGUGGGACUCUUUGCUUCGACGCCCCUGCGUUUCUGUUCCUCUGCCUUGUCGGACUGCUCCACCGUGUAUGACCCAGUUUCCGAUUUGCUCACCAGUGUCGCGGUCUUCGGCUCGCAUCUUCCUCAGGAUGGACCGCAG